rnacentral:rRNA from 1 species
GCAACUCGACUACAUGAAGCUGGAAUCGCUAGUAAUCGCGAAUCAGCAUGUCGCGGUGAAUACGUUCCCGGGUCUUGUACACACCGCCCGUCACACCAUGGGAGUUGGUAACGCCCGAAGCCAGUGACCCAACCGGAAACGAAGGGAGCUGUCGAAGGUGGGACCGAUAACUGGGGUGAAGUCGUAACAAGGUAAC